rnacentral:tRNA from 1 species
AGGGCUAUAGCUCAGUUGGUAGAGCACCUCGUUUACAUCGAGAAGGUUUACGGUUCGAGUCCUAUAGCCCUAC